ACGCUGUGUAAUGAUAAAAUCAUUUUUGAGAACUACAAAAUCAAAAGACAAAAGACCCACACCCAAGUUCCAUAGCUUUUGGUCCGCU
rnacentral:tRNA from 1 species